rnacentral:hammerhead_ribozyme from 1 species
ACUAGCGGACGAGUCCCAAAUAGGACGAAAUGCGCAUCCUGGAU